rnacentral:rRNA from 1 species
GAGUUUGAUCUUGGCUCAGAUUGAACGCUGGCGGCAGGCCUAACACAUGCAAGUCGAGCGGUAGAGAGAAGCUUGCUUCUCUUGAGAGCGGCGGACGGGUGAGUAAUGCCUAGGAAUCUGCCUGGUAGUGGGGGAUAACGCUCGGAAACGGACGCUAAUACCGCAUACGUCCUACGGGAGAAAGCAGGGGACCUUCGGGCCUUGCGCUAUCAGAUGAGCCUAGGUCGGAUUAGCUAGUUGGUGAGGUAAUGGCUCACCAAAGGCGACGAUCCGUAACUGGUCUGAGAGGAUGAUCAGUCACACUGGAACUGAGACACGGUCCAGACUCCUGCGGGAGGGCAGCAGUGGGGAAUAUUGGACAAUGGGCGAAAGCCUGAUCCAGCCAUGCCGCGUGUGUGAAGAAGGUCUUCGGAUUGUAAAGCACUUU